rnacentral:rRNA from 1 species
GCACAAUGGGCGCAAGCCUGAUGCAGCCAUGCCGCGUGUAUGAAGAAGGCCUUCGGGUUGUAAAGUACUUUCAGCGGGGAGGAAGGUGUUGUGGUUAAUAACCGCAGCAAUUGACGUUACCCGCAGAAGAAGCACCGGCUAACUCCGUGCCAGCAGCCGCGGUAAUACGGAGGGUGCAAGCGUUAAUCGGAAUUACUGGGCGUAAAG